UGCAGUCGACGAUGAAGCCCUUCGGGGUGGAUUAGUGGCGAACGGGUGAGUAACACGUGGGCAAUCUGCCCUGCACUCUGGGACAAGCCCUGGAAACGGGGUCUAAUACCGGAUAUGACCAUCUUGGGCAUCCUUGAUGGUGUAAAGCUCCGGCGGUGCAGGAUGAGCCCGCGGCCUAUCAGCUUGUUGGUGAGGUAAUGGCUCACCAAGGCGACGACGGGUAGCCGGCCUGAGAGGGCGACCGGCCACACUGGGACUGAGACACGGCCCAGACUCCUACGGGAGGCAGCAGUGGGGAAUAUUGCACAAUGGGCGAAAGCCUGAUGCAGCGACGCCGCGUGAGGGAUGACGGCCUUCGGGUUGUAAACCUCUUUCAGCAGGGAAGAAGCGAAAGUGACGGUACCUGCAGAAGAAGCGCCGGCUAACUACGUGCCAGCAGCCGCGGUAAUACGUAGGGCGCAAGCGUUGUCCGGAAUUAUUGGGCGUAAAGAGCUCGUAGGCGGCUUGUCACGUCGAUUGUGAAAGCUCGGGGCUUAACCCCGAGUCUGCAGUCGAUACGGGCUAGCUAGAGUGUGGUAGGGGAGAUCGGAAUUCCUGGUGUAGCGGUGAAAUGCGCAGAUAUCAGGAGGAACACCGGUGGCGAAGGCGGAUCUCUGGGCCAUUACUGACGCUGAGGAGCGAAAGCGUGGGGAGCGAACAGGAUUAGAUACCCUGGUAGUCCACGCCGUAAACGGUGGGAACUAGGUGUUGGCGACAUUCCACGUCGUCGGUGCCGCAGCUAACGCAUUAAGUUCCCCGCCUGGGGAGUACGGCCGCAAGGCUAAAACUCAAAGGAAUUGACGGGGCCCGCACAA
rnacentral:rRNA from 1 species